rnacentral:rRNA from 1 species
UAGGGAAUCUUCCGCAAUGGGCGAAAGCCUGACGGAGCAACGCCGCGUGAGUGAUGAAGGUCUUCGGAUCGUAAAACUCUGUUAUUAGGGAAGAACAAAUGUGUAAGUAACUAUGCACGUCUUGACGGUACCUAAUCAGAAAGCCACGGCUAACUACGUGCCAGCAGCCGCGGUAAUACGUAGGUGGCAAGCGUUAUCCGGAAUUAUUGGGCGUAAAGCGCGCGUAGGCGGUUUUUUAAGUCUGAUGUGAAAGCCCACGGCUCAACCGUGGAGGGUCAUUGGAAACUGGAAAACUUGAGUGCAGAAGAGGAAAGUGGAAUUCCGUGUGUAGCGGUGAAAUGCGGAGAGAUAUGGAGGAACACCAGUGGAGAAGGCGACUUUCUGGUCUGUAACUGACGCUGAUGUGCGAAAGCGGGGGGAUCAAACAGG